GUCCUGUGGAUAGCUCAGAUGGUAGGGAAUGAGACUCCUAAGCACAGGGUUGUGGGUUUGAGCCCCACAUUGGGCA